rnacentral:sRNA from 1 species
CUCUGCGCGAUCACCUGUCUCUGUGAUCAGCUGCUAGGCGGGAAGCUCCAGUCGAAAACAGAAAGCAGAAAAGUUGUGUGAAAAUUGUUUUUCUUUCGCUAUCAAUGUGAAUAUUUUUGGAUAUCCCGCGCGGAACGCACUGAUUUGGCCCCUGCAACCUGGCGGGAUGUCUGCAAGGCCGGAUUUCGUACACAGCAUGGCACGGAUUUAUAACCGGAAAUCUUGAAGCUCGUGUUGGACGCAACCGCAUUGGAAAAAAGCUCAAACUUUUCUGAUAAUCGCUCAGUUUUCUAUUUACAUAU